AGUGAACGCUGGCGGUAGGCCUAACACAUGCAAGUCGAACGGCAGCACAGUAAGAGCUUGCUCUUACGGGUGGCGAGUGGCGGACGGGUGAGGAAUACAUCGGAAUCUACUUUUUCGUGGGGGAUAACGUAGGGAAACUUACGCUAAUACCGCAUACGACCUACGGGUGAAAGCAGGGGAUCUUCGGACCUUGCGCGAUUGAAUGAGCCGAUGUCGGAUUAGCUAGUUGGCGGGGUAAAGGCCCACCAAGGCGACGAUCCGUAGCUGGUCUGAGAGGAUGAUCCGACACAUUGGAAGUGAGACAGGGCCCAGACUCCGACGGUAGGCAGCAGUGGGGAAUAUUGGACAAUGGGCGCAAGCCUGAUCCAGCCAUACCGCGUGGGUGAAGAAGGCCUUCGGGUUGUAAAGCCCUGUUGUUGGGAAAGAAAAGCAGCAGGUUAAUACCCCGCUGUUCUGACGGUACCCAAAGAAUAAGCACCGGCUAACUUCGUG
rnacentral:rRNA from 1 species